UCAUGCCCUAUAUGACUUGGGCUACACACGUGCUACAAUGGCAGGUACAGAGGGCAGCGAGAUUGUGAAAUUAAGCGAACCUCAAAAAGCCUGUCCCAGUUCGGAUUGCACUCUGCAACUCGAGUGCAUGAAGUUGGAGUUGCUAGUAAUCGCAGAUCAGAAUGCUGCGGUGAAUGCGUUCCCGGGUCUUGUACACACCGCCCGUCACACCAUGGAAGUUGGCAAUACCCGAAGCCUGUGAGCGAACCGAUUGGACGCAGCAGUCGAAGGUAGGGUCAGUAACUGGGGUGAAGUCGUAACAAGGUAGCCGUAUCGGAA
rnacentral:rRNA from 1 species